rnacentral:rRNA from 1 species
UAGGUAGGUGGUCUUAUUUGUCUGGGGUGAAAGCCUUGAGCUUAACUCAAGAAGUGCCCCAGAAACGGUAAGACUAGAGUCUUGGAGAGGGUUGCGGAAUUCCCGGUGUAGCGGUGAAAUGCGUAGAGAUCGGGAGGAACACCAGAGGCGAAGGCGGCAACCUGGACAAGUACUGACACUCAACUACGAAAGCGUGGGGAGCAAACA